UGAAACUUUCGUCACAUUUUUCUCAGGAACUACACAUCCACCCUUUCUGUAAUUUGGUAUCAACAUUUAUAUAUGUCAGCCAUACCGUGUGAUGCGUUUACAGAUUCAUCACUUGACAACUUCCUGUUUACCGAACACUUGUCUGAUUUUACACAUGAUAGCCAAGUUGAAAAUUUUCGUCACAUUUUUCUCAGGAACUACACAUCCAC
rnacentral:lncRNA from 1 species